CAACGUAACGAUAAAUGACGCAACUGACGUCAUAUCACUAGUCGAUGAAGCAAGUGGCGGGAAAAUACAGGAACUCCUGCCCGGAAAUGCGACGAUCGAACAGUUAGCAGACGGGAUAAAACUGCUAAGGCAGGUGCUGGUAGGAGAAACGAACCUGUCUGUAUUAUACAACCCUCCUGCCCCUCCAAGCGAGCCGAUGUACACGCAUCGUCUUCCCUGGAACACCUUUUGCAUUGUGAUGAGCUUCAUAUCC